rnacentral:lncRNA from 1 species
UUGUAAUGCGCAUUUUAAAGUGAAAUUCCUAAUGUCGUUUUCUAAUCUCUCUCUCUAAAAAAGAAGAAAAAAAAAUCCUAUAAUUUUGGUUUUUAUACAGGUUUUUACUAAAAAAGAAAAAAAUCCUAUAAUUUUGGUUUUGAUACCGGUUUUUACUAAAAAAGAAAAAAUCCUAUAAUUUUGGUUUUUAUAUAGGUUUUUACUCACCAGUGGCUCUAUUACCCCCGAAAUAUUUAAUGUUUAAGGAUUAACAAGAGGCUACGGAAGGAAGCUUGCCCAUUUCCGUCUCCAU